rnacentral:rRNA from 1 species
GACGAACGCUGGCGGCGUGCUUAACACAUGCAAGUCGAACGGAAAGGCCCUGCUUUUGUGGGGUGCUCGAGUGGCGAACGGGUGAGUAACACGUGAGUAACCUGCCCUUGACUUUGGGAUAACUUCAGGAAACUGGGGCUAAUACCGGAUAGGAGCUCCUGCUGCAUGGUGGGGGUUGGAAAGUUUCGGCGGUUGGGGAUGGACUCGCGGCUUAUCAGCUUGUUGGUGGGGUAGUGGCUUACCAAGGCUUUGACGGGUAGCCGGCCUGAGAGGGUGACCGGCCACAUUGGGACUGAGAUGCGGCCCAGACUCCUACGGGAGGCAGCAGUGGGGAAUAUUGCACAAGGGGCGGAAGCCUGAUGCAGCAACGCCGCGUGCGGGAUGACGGCCUUCGGGUUGUAAACCGCUUUCGCCUGUGACGAAGCGUGAGUAACGGUAAUGGGUAAAGAAGCACCGGCUAACUACGU